GAUGAAGAACGCAGCGAAAUGCGAUAAGUAAUGUGAAUUGCAGAAUUCAGUGAAUCAUCGAGUCUUUGAACGCACAUUGCGCCCCCUGGUAUUCCGGGGGGCAUGCCUGUCCGAGCGUCAUUGCUGCCCUCAAGCACGGCUUGUGUGUUGGGCCCCGUCCCCUCCCCCGGGGACGGGCCCGAAGGGCAGCGGCGGCACCGCGUCCGAUCCUCGAGCGUAUGGGGCUUUGUCACCCGCUCUGUAGGCCCGGCCGGCGCCAGCCGACACCCAACUUUUAUUUCUAAGGUUGACCUCGGAUCAGGUAGGGAUACCCGCUGAACUUAAGCAUAUCAAUAAGCGGAGGA
rnacentral:misc_RNA from 1 species